rnacentral:rRNA from 1 species
AACGUAGGGGACAAGCGUUAUCCGGAUUUACUGGGCGUAAAGCGCCCGUAGGCGGCCUUUCAAGUUGGAUGUGAAAGCUCCCGGCUUAACUGGGAGAGGUCAUUCAAAACUGGGAGGCUAGAGGAUGGAAGAGGAGAGCGGAAUUCCCGGUGUAGUGGUGGAAUGCGUAGAGAUCGGGAGGAACACCAGUGGCGAAAGCGGCUCUCUGGUCCGUACCUGACGCUGAGGGGCGAAAGCGUGGGGAGCGAACGGGAUUAGAAACCCCAGUAGUCC